AUUGAACGCUGGCAGCAGGCCUAACACAUGCAAGUCGAGCGGAUGAUGGUAGCUUGCUACCUGAUUCAGCGGCGGACGGGUGAGUAAUGCCUAGGAAUCUGCCUGGUAGUGGGGGACGACGUUUCGAAAGGAACGCUAAUACCGCAUACGUCCUACGGGAGAAAGUGGGGGAUCUUCGGACCUCACGCUCACCAAUAAGAAAAGGUAAGAUUAGAUAGUUUUUUAGGUAAGGGCUCACCAAGGCGACGAUCGUUAACUGGUCUGAGAGGAUGAUCAGUCACACUGGAACUGAGACACGGUCCAGACUCCUACGGGAGGCAGCAGUGGGGAAUAUUGGACAAUGGGCGAAAGCCUGAUCCAGCCAUGCCGCGUGUGUGAAGAAGGUCUUCGGAUUGUAAAGCACUUUAAGUUGGGAGGAAGGGCAGUAAGUUAAUACCUUGCUGUUUUGACGUUACCGACAGAAUAAGCACCGGCUAACUUCGUGCCAGCCGCCGCCGUAACAC
rnacentral:rRNA from 1 species